rnacentral:rRNA from 1 species
GGGGAAUAUUGCACAAUGGGGGAAACCCUGAUGCAGCAACGCCGCGUGAAGGAUGAAGGUUUUCGGAUUGUAAACUUCUUUAGUCAGGGACGAAAAAAUGACGGUAGCUGAAGAAUAAGCCACGGCUCACUACGUGCCAGCAGCCGCGGUCAUACGUAGGUGGCAAGCGUUGUCCGGAAUUACUGGGUGUAAAGGGCGUGUAGGCGGGAAUGUAAGUCAGAUGUGAAAUCCCAGGGCUUAACCCUGGAGCUGCAUCUGAAACUAUGUUUCUUGAGUGCCGGAGAUGAAAGCGGAAUUCCGAGUGUAGCGGUGAGAUGCGUAGAUAUUAGGAGGAACACCAGUGGCGAAGGCGGCUUUCUGGACGGUAACUGACGCUGAGGCGCGAAAGCGUGGGGAGCAAAC